rnacentral:rRNA from 1 species
GACGAACGCUGGCGGCGUGCCUAAUACAUGCAAGUAGGACGCAGUUGCGAACGGGUGAGUAACGCGUAGGUAACUACCUAUUAGAGGGGGAUAACUAUUGGAAACGAUAGCUAAUACCGCAUACUAGUAGAUGGACCUGCGUUGUAUUAGCUAGUAGGUAGGGUAAGGGCCUUCCUAGGCAACGAUACAUAGCCGACCUGUGAGGGUGAUCCGCCACACUUGGACUUGAACACGGCCCAGACUCCUACCGUACGUAGCAGUGGGGAAUCUUCGGCAAUUGGGGGAACCCCGACCGAGCAACGCCGCGUGAGUGUAGAAGGUUUUUGGAUCGUAAAGCUCUGUUUUGAAGGUAGCGGUACUUAACCAGAAAGGGACGGCUAACUACGUGCCAGCAGCCGCGGUAAUAC